ACUCAAAUGAAUAGACGGGGGCCCGCACAAGCGGUGGAGCAUGUGGCUUAAUUCGAUGCAACGCGAAGAACCUUACCUGGGUUUGACAUGUACCUGCAGGCCUGGCGAAAGCCGGGCGGCCUUCGAGGGUGGUACACAGGUGCUGCAUGGCUGUCGUCAGCUCGUGCCGUGAGGUGUUAGGUUAAGUCCUGCAACGAGCGCAACCCCUGUGCCUAGUUGCUCGCGCGCAAGCGCAGCACUCUAGACAGACUGCCUGUGAUAAGCAGGAGGAAGGUGGGGAUGACGUCAAGUCAGUAUGGUCCUUAUAUCCAGGGCUGCACACGUGCUACAAUGAUCAGUACAGAGGGAAGCGAGACCGCGAGGUGGAGCUAAUCCCCGAAAACUGAUCCCAGUUCAGAUUGGAGUCUGCAACUCGACUCCAUGAAGCCGGAAUCGCUAGUAAUGGCGCAUCAGCUACGGCGCCGUGAAUACGUUCCCGGGCCUUGCACACACCGCCCGU
rnacentral:rRNA from 1 species